AGAGUGUGGAGAAGGAUAUUUGAAGUGCUCGGACGGUGCACAAUGUAUCCCUGCUAGCUAUGUAUGUGAUGGAGAUAAUGAUUGUAAAGAUGGGUCAGACGAAAGAAACUGCUCAGAAGUAGGCAGAUUGAACAUUGCAAGUGCAGAGAUGAAGAGCAGCUGGCCUGACUACCCUCCUCCAAAUCUCAUCGAUGGAAAUCUAAACAAUUAUGCGCACACAUUUGGAGCUGAAGACGGUAUGUGGAUACGCAUAAAUCUAGAACAGUGCUCUCUUGUCACUAAAGUGACCGUCUACAACAGGCACAAUUGCUGUAAAGAAAGGAUAAUUGGAGCUUCAAUCUUCAUAAAGGCAGGACAUAGUUAUGUUAAAGAUUGUGGUAAGAUCAGCAGUACAAAAACUUCAUACACUUUUAACUGUGAAGGAACCGGAAAUGUAAUUGAGAUGAGUCAGGAGGGAAA